rnacentral:lncRNA from 1 species
UUUUUUUAAUUGUUAGUACGACUGAUCAAGACGAUUAGUGAUCGAGUUCAUGGGUUCGGGUUGCACGAAUGGAUACCGGGUGCGGCAUGGGUGGAUGCCAAUAACCCGAGACUUCAUCGAAUUCAGCCACGCAAGGGCAUUUUUUUGACAUUGGAUGCAUCAGCACGGAAGACAAUUGGUUUGUGGUUAGCUUAUAAGGCGAUCAUGUUGGCCUUGCUACAAAAGAAGUGAGACGUGGUCAUCUAUCGAAGUCAUCAUAGGUGAAGUUGGGUUCGUUCUUGGUAGAUUUUGGAGCGGUUCGGGCUUUGAUCAAAGUUGGGCA